AACGAACGCUGGCGGCAGGCUUAACACAUGCAAGUCGAACGCCCCUUCGGGGGAGUGGCAGACGGGUGAGUAACGCGUGGGAACGUGCCCUUCAGUUCGGGAUAACCCAGGGAAACUUGGGCUAAUACCGGAUACGUGCGAGAGCAGAAAGAUUUAUCGCUGAAGGAUCGGCCCGCGUCUGAUUAGCUGGUUGGUGAGGUAACGGCUCACCAAGGCGACGAUCAGUAGCUGGUCUGAGAGGAUGAUCAGCCACACUGGGACUGAGACACGGCCCAGACUCCUACGGGAGGCAGCAGUGGGGAAUAUUGGACAAUGGGCGCAAGCCUGAUCCAGCCAUGCCGCGUGAGUGAUGACGGCCUUAGGGUUGUAAAGCUCUUUCGUCCGGGACGAUAAUGACGGUACCGGAAGAAGAAGCCCCGGCUAACUUCGUGCCAGCCGCCGCAGUAAAAC
rnacentral:rRNA from 1 species